AGUUAAGCUUUUAUUUUGGGGCAUUAAUGGUGAACUCUGUAGACAAAACUUCUCUCUCUUUCCUCAGAAUGUAUCUAUCCAAAUGACUCUCUGUUAUAUGAUUCUGUCUUCUUAAUCCCACAGUAUAUGGAAAGCAUUCCCUUGUAUUGAAGAGAUAUCAUUUUAUAAAGUUGAAACUUUGCUCGCCCUGGUUACUUAGAGUCAAAGGAAUAUCCAUUUUGGGCUUCCAGUGAGUGACGGAAUAAAGCAGAUUUCCAUGUGCACACAUUAAAGAUAUGCUAGAUACAUAUAUGUUUGCGAUUAGUAGUUCCAAGUCCUGACCUCUGGGUUCCCUGAUUGACUAGGAUUCAUUUCUCCCUACCGCAGAGGGCCAGCAGAAGACCUAUGCACAAUUUAAGCUUCACUUCGAUGUAGUUUUGAGUACUUCCAUGGGACAUGGGUGGGCAGCAAGUUUCACUCACUGGAAACAUUUAAAUUUCAGUUUGGAAACAAUUUUACUAACCAAUGACAUAUUUUCUUUUAAGCUUUUACAGACCAAGAAACUUUGUCAUACAAUUCCAUUACUGAAUCCAGCAAAUUUUUGUUAAAUUACAACACCUCUCUUAGGAAGAUAUUAAAUAAUGAUUUAAAGACUUAAAGCAGGAAACUACAGCAGAAGGAAACUUGGCAGCAGUAAUGGAAUAAGCUGGUGCCUAGACAAGCUCAUUCAUAGAUAUCGUAUUGGGGAAUGGAGAAAUGGGGCCUGCUGUGCAACCCCCCAGAUCUGACAAAGAAGAGAGUACUUCAGUAAGCAGAACUGCCAUUUUUUCAAAGGCCAGAUGUUUACAGACCAAAGCUACAAAAUGCUGAAGAAAAGAUUAAAGAAGAAUACUGUGACCAAAAGAAAAAUUGCCUCAGAUGUUCAUCAUGAUACUACGUAUUUGACUUUUCAAGACUGAAAAGUCCUCCAGAUGAACUCACACUUUACUGCAGAGACCACAGACUGAUCUUCUGUGAGUCUGUGGAGGAAACAAACAGAAACAACAAGAAACCACUACCAGAUAAAGCUAAUGAUGCCCUAGGAGUGGCCUACAGAUAAUCCCUGUCUUUCUGCAUUUUGUGGCGGACUGGGGUAAUAUGACACUUUCUUGAGGGUUGCUGCUGUGUGUCUGCUCCUCUCCAUGGAGGUGACUACUGAGGGACCUGGCACCAUUGUAUUUUAUCAACAAAAUCACUGACUUAUAUCCUCCAGGUUUUGCUGCUCACUCUGAGGAUUGCAUCUUGCUGAGUGUUUUGUGAUUUACUCCCAGAUCUCUUCGAAGUCUCAGACUUGGUUUGUUAAAGCUCACUGGUUUAGUGCAUUAUUUGUUCUGUAGCAAUGCCCAGAGGCACCUUUUUUGCAGAGCAGCCUCUGUGUCUGGUACACAUGCAGCUGUUUGUCCUAAGGUCCGAGACACAUUCUCAUAGCCUUGUCUCUGCCUCUCUGGCACAUGAUGUUCUCAGCCAUCACUAAAGAUUAAUAUGUUCCAUUUGGCACUGUCGUGAGAAAGCUAUCUUGUUUGGGGGAAAAUGUAUUAUUAAGCCCAAAGCAAAGAUGCAGGCACUUUUUGGUGAUGGUGUUGAUUAUUCACAAAAUGUCAUUCCCGAGUUGCCUUGUUUGCCAAGUGUGGGACAUAUGUUAGUAAUUGGCAACGUGUAAUGUGGAUCUCUUCUAUAAAUGGCUGUUUCAAAACACAAUUAGUAAUAAAAUAAGGAGGCUAAGAGGUUCCACAGAAGAUCCAACACUGCACCUCUUUUUAAACUGUUAUCACUAGCAGGCAAGACUUGUUCUCCCUCCUUGUCCAGACUGCUUUUCUUCCUGUAAAACCUCAGGCCUGUUCCCCAUUUUUGCUCGUGUUGCAACUUAGGGUUUUUUUGUUCUUUGAGGAGACAGCUAGUUGAAAUCUAUGUCUGCUGUUUCUUAAUAUGCUUUCCACUGACUUGUGGGCUAGCUUUAUUUGAACAACUCCAGUAACGACAUAGAAUGAUUUUCAAGGACCUGGAGGAGGAAAUAAUUCUAUGAAGCUCCAUAGCUCCUAUGGAUUCUAUCUCUUGAUUUUAGUUACACUCCACACGGACAUAAAGUAUCAAUAGAUACCUUAAUAGAGUCAGAGGCUUGAAUUUGCUGUCAUGUCGCCACUGUUUUGAUGUGAAGGCAUUAAUUCAGAUGGCAUAAUUGGUAGGGUUGGAAUAAAUCUUAACAUAUCAGCCCCAAGAGAUUUACAGCAGAAGAGUUUGAAUGUGCAAAUAUUUGUGCAGGUGUGCAGAUCUACAGACUCUAUUGUUAUCACAGACCUGUUCAACUGAGGAAGUUAUUGGUCUGUAGUGAUGGAGGUAGAAACAGGCUUUUGAGACCUAAAUACCACUGGAUAAUGAAUGGUAAGGACAAUACAAUACACAUAAGGAGGAAAGUGUCACCUGUAUGAGGCGCACUUGGAAAUGGCAUUGGCAAGUUUGUCUGAUAUUUGGAGGGGCAAGAUUAUUUGGUUGUUUGGUUAGCUGGUCACAUAUUUUUUUCAUGCAGGAUAGUAUGAGUUUGAGUGUGGCUGGGGUAUAAUGAUGUGUAGAUGGAUGCUGGAGAUCCAGUUUUCUGGUGACAUGGCCUAAUCUGUCAGCUAGCAAGGAGAAGAGAAGGAGGUGCAGAUGAUUGAUACAAAGUUAUAACCACCCUUUUUGAUUGUUGGUGUAUUUUUUCAUGUCUUUUCUGGACUCCUCUUUGCUGUGGGACACUUGUGUAAUAGAAGAACUGGUUCACAUCUUUGCACGCUCUUUCCAAUGCAACACUAGCCGCUGUGAUCCACUCCCAGUAAAUAUUAGUUAACUAUUGCAAUAUGUUUUUUGAGGGGUGUAGCCUAAAUCAGAAGUUGAUGCAAAAUACCGCAUCCCACUUUCCAAGCGGCAACCAUGGCCAAAUUGUUCCACGCUUCACAUGGAGCAGCAGCCCAAAGAGCACUAGGGGCAGCAAGAAUCUUUCCACUGACUUCAAAAAGCUUUGACUCAAGCCACCCAAGACAAUGCUAGGCCCUGUUUUUCCCCAAAAGGUGAACAUGGCUUCAGAAACAUUUUUGAGAGCCUGUCCUCUUUUAUCCAGUGUGGCCAGGAAUGAUCCCAAACCAGAGAUAUCCUGGCUUGGGAGUGGUGGUGCUGCUUGGCUGGGAAUGGAGUCAAACCUUCGGCUUUUUUCCCUUUGUUUGAAGUUUCUCAGCCUCCAGUAUGUGAAGCUUUCCCUGGCUCUUGGGUAGGAGAAUGCAGGUUACUCUUUCCAUAUGGAGUCAGUAUUUGUUGAACUGUUUUUCCAGUUUGAACUGGUUAUUUUCCCAUUAAAGAAGGAAAGAGGGGUAAAUUUGGUCACUUUUUGGAAGGAAGUGGAAUUGAAUUAUUGUUCUUAUCUACUUUGUAUCUGUGUAAGCCCUGUGUAUGUGUUCUUGUGCAUCAAAUGAAAUAAAAAACAUAAA